GCUUAUCACCAUUCCAGAUUGAAUAUACCCGAUCUCGUCUGAUCUCGGAAGUCAAGCAAUCUCUGGCUUGGUUAGUACUUGGAUGGGUGACCGCUUGGGAAUACCAAGUGUGAUAAGCA
rfam:Ciona savignyi cont_33229, whole genome shotgun sequence.